AUUGAACGCUGGCGGCAUGCCUUACACAUGCAAGUCGAACGGCAGCACGGGGCAACCUGGUGGCGAGUGGCGAACGGGUGAGUAAUGCAUCGGAACGUACCUUUCAGUGGGGGAUAACGUAGCGAAAGUUACGCUAAUACCGCAUAUUCUGUGAGCAGGAAAGCAGGGGAUCGCAAGACCUUGCGCUGAUUGAGCGGCCGAUGUUAGAUUAGCUAGUUGGUGAGGUAAAGGCCCACCAAGGCGACGAUCUGUAGCGGGUCUGAGAGGAUGAUCCGCCACACUGGAACUGAGACACGGUCCAGACUCCUACGGGAGGCAGCAGUGGGGAAUUUUGGACAAUGGGGGCAACCCUGAUCCAGCCAUGCCGCGUGAGUGAAGAAGUCCUUCGGGUUGUAAAGCUCUUUCGGCCGGGAAGAAAUCGCACGGGCUAAUACCCUGUGUGGAUGACGGUACCGGAAUAAGAAGCACCGGCUAACUACGUGCCAGCCGCCGCAGUAA
rnacentral:rRNA from 1 species